rfam:Triticum aestivum genome assembly, contig: Triticum_aestivum_CS42_TGACv1_scaffold_376096_5AL
AGUAUACUCCCUCCGUCCCAAAAUUCUUGUCUUAAAUUUGUCUAAAUACGGAUGUAUCAAGUCAUGUUUUAGUAUUAGAUACAUCCGUAUCUAGACAGAUCUAAGACAAGAAUUUUAGCUACUAUGGACUGCUAU